rnacentral:rRNA from 1 species
AUGAAGACGGUUGCUAAAGGAAUUCUGAAGGGCCAUUUGAUACUUGUGGCAAACAGCAUGACAUGCACUGGGAACUUGAAUGGGUUCCACAGUGAUGGUUACAAGGCGACCUUAAGUUCGUUAAAAGUUCAAGCACCUUUUGCAGAGUCCACCUUGCUUACCCCUAUAAAAUGCUUCGAGAAGGCUGCAGAGAAAUGCCAUACUGAUUCAUUGGGUUGUGUGGUCUCAUCAUGUUCAUGGGGCCAUUCAACACUUGGCACUGGGUCAUGUUUUCAGAUUCUUUGGAACGAAAAUCAGGUAAGCUGGUUUUCCAACCCGCCAGAGCUUAUUAUUCAUACCAGUAAUGGAGCUUGA